rnacentral:lncRNA from 1 species
AUGUUAGGGCUCGCCCCUGUUACCGUGAGUAUGUACGUUCAAAGGGAGACCGAGGGCCUCGGGUACAGAGUGAGGAAGGAGAAGGGCGCAGGGUUGGGCGCGACGGCAGCCAGUGCCGGAUUCCGGAGCCACGGCGGCGGACUCCUCGGCGACGGCUGGAUCGAGUGAGAAGAGAGAGAGAACACCGAUUUGGGAGGAAGAACGAUGUCUAGCAGUCGCCGGACUUACAGAAACAGCGGCGUCGCGGAGGAAGGCGGCGGCCGCUCGCCGGUCUUUCAAUUGCAGCGGCAGCAGCGAGGACUCCCGGAGGACUAGGGCUCGCCCUGUGGUCUUGAGCGCAUACUAUCGGAGAGAGUCAGCAGAGGAAGGAGAACGCCGGAGCUGGGCAGUGGGAGACGACGCCGGCCGGUAGCCGAAUGACCGGAAAAAGGGAAGGGCCGAUCGAAGAGAGGGCCGAGCGGCUCUGUGUGAGAAAUUUUGGAGA